AGCUUUGCGCAGUGGCAGUAUCGUAGCCAAUGAGGUUUAUCCGAGGCGCGAUUAUUGCUAAUUAAAAGUUUUAUUUACUUAU
rnacentral:snRNA from 1 species